rnacentral:rRNA from 1 species
CACCCAUGCAUGUUUUUGACAUUUGAAAAAUGGACUGCUCAGUAAUACUCACUUUAUUUUAWGUAAAUUUUUUAAUUAACUACGUUAAAGUGUAGAUAAGAUGUUUACAGUAAGAGUGAGACCUAUCAGCUAGUUGUUAAGGUAAUGGCUUAACAAGGCUGUGACGGGUAACGGUAUUACUUUGUAAUAUUCCGGAGAAGGAGCCUGAGAGACGGCUACUAAGUCUAAGGAUUGCAGCAGGGGCGAAACUUGACCUAUGGAUUUUAUCUGAGGCAGUUAUGGGAAGUAAUAUUAUAUUGUUUCAUAUUUUAAAAGUAUAUGAGGUGAUUAAUUGGAGGGCAAAUCAAGUGCCAGCAGCCGCGGUAAUACUUGUUCCAAGAGUGUGUAUGAUGAUUGAUGCAGUUAAAAAGUCCGUAGUUUAUUUUUUUA